UUUUCCUUUAAUCCAGAUGAUGAUGUCUGUCAUUGUCUUUUUUAGGAAAGAUGUUUUUAAUUUUUUUCCCAACAGUUUGGAGAUGUAAUCGAGUCACAGGACCACUACACAUACCAGCCAAUACCAAAGAAACACAUACAUGCUUGAGAUGGACACAGAGACUUGAGACUUAGUUGUGAAAAAAUGAAAAAUCUGUGGUUUUCUCACCCUCAAGUCGUUCCAAACCCAUAAGACUUUCACCGUGUCUGCACCGGAGCAGUGCAACUGUCGCACCCGACCUUCAUGACCUUUCUGGAUCCUCUAACUUUUGGUCACAUGGACUGUCACCGGAGGGAAGGAAAGCUUUCAGGUUUCAUUAUGAAAUAUCUUAAUUUGUGUUUUGAAGAUAACCAAAGUCUGGUGGAUUAGCUCUAAAAGAGGGGAAGUAAAUGACAAUUAUGAUGAUGAUUUCCUUGAAAAAUGAAGCUACAGAUGAUGUUUUUUCUGGGAAUUGAUGGUUUAAAAAAAAGCACCAAAUAUCAGAAUUGUUGUAAAAUGUAUUGAAAUCUGUAAGAAGUUUACAAUGUUGACCUUGCAUUCGAAUGUAUUUUUCAAAUUUGUCCAAAUGUGAGAAACUGUCCUUCUUUUCUUUUUCUUUUCUUUUCUAAAGUUUAAUGCAAGUUCAUCUGGAAUGUGAGUGGCUUUUUUUCAGUGGCACAUGGAUGUAACAUUUCUUGGAUGAACGUUCUAUUCUGGAAUGUUAUGCUUUUACGUUUUAAAGCAGUUUUCACUAUUAACUGUUGUAAAUUCUUCCUCAAAUUCCAAAAGUGGAGAUUGUCAAUGAGUGUUGAAGAUUUCAAUGUGAUGUAAUGAACAUUUAAAAAUGUUUGACUCUCAAGAGUGUAAAUUCAGUAAUUCAGUGACAUUUAACAGUAAAAUCACAUUCUGAAGGUGAAGAAAUUGCUUAAUAUGUACA